AUGUCGGCGAAGGGGUUGGCCGCGGGCGUCGGCGCCUCGGCCUGCAGCCUGCAGCUGCAGCUGCGGGGCCGCCGCAUCCAGCGGCUCGGGCGCGGGGGCUUGGGGAGGGACGCGGUGAUGAGGAGGUGGGAGGAGGAGAGGGAAGGGGGCACCAUGGUUGCUUGCUGCUCGCUGAUUCACCGGUGGUAUGGCGGAUCAGCCGGCGGCGCGGCGGGCGCCGCUGCAGCCGUUCGCCAUAUCCAAGACGCAGAGGAAGGGCUUGCUCGCCGCCGUGGCCGAGGCGCACCACCGCGUGGCCGGGGCCUCCUCGACAUCGUCACCGGCCCGGCCGCUUCCUCGCUGCGCGCCACGCGUCCUCCACGCGUCCUCCUCGUCCGCCAUGCGCCAUGCUUGGGGGUGGAGACGGCUGGAAAAAUUUUCUCCCCAAGUCCAAAAUUUGCGCCGGCGCAGCCCCAGCCGGACGAAAAAACGUCCCUGGGGAGGCACAACAGCUGGAGAUGCUCUUAG
rnacentral:rRNA from 1 species